rnacentral:rRNA from 1 species
UACGUAGGGUGCGAGCGUUAAUCGGAAUUACUGGGCGUAAAGCGUGCGCAGGCGGUUCGUUAAGUCAGAUGUGAAAGCCCCGGGCUCAACCUGGGAAUGGCAUUUGAAACUGGCGGGCUGGAGUGUGGCAGAGGGGGGUGGAAUUCCACGUGUAGCAGUGAAAUGCGUAGAGAUGUGGAGGAACACCGAUGGCGAAGGCAGCCCCCUGGGCCAACACUGACGCUCAGGCACGAAAGCGUGGGGAGCAAACAAG